CAUAAAUUUGGAUUUAAAAUAUAUUUAUGUUCAGUUUUUAAAAAAGUAAUGUAUAUAUAUAUAUAUAUUAAUCUUAUAUUUAUAUUUCAUGUAAAAGUAUAUAUCCGUAUAUACCCCGUUUAGGCGUCCGCCUAUAUAGCUAAGUGCUAUACAGUCAUAUAUAACGCGUAAUGAACGCCUAGCGCGUUUUAGAACACUGUGUAAUUGUGUGUUUCUAUGGAGUCCAUUGAUGACCUCUCUUCCCUUUUAUAUUUGUUUUCUUUCCUUCGAAUAUUUCAUCAUGUAAAGUCUUCCUCCUCGCUUAAUUCCCCAUUCGUAGUUAUUAAUUGGUGAAGUAACCUAAAUAGUGAAUAUGAACGUUGAAUCUUACAAUACUAAAAGGAGGAUAUGAGCUCCAUUGAACCUAUCCACAUAGGAUCAGAAAUUCAAGCCAAUCAUAUUGUUUUAAGAUGCCAUGUCAGCUUAGUAAAAAAAAUCUAACUUUACGAUGGGGAUUCCUUCUUCUUCUUCGACGCCUUUCCAGUGUCUCUAUCCAACUUCUCAGCGGUUCCAAGUUUUCUUCCAUGAUCUGCCAUUAAUUUGUCCUAUUAUUGCUUUUUCAAAACAGUAGUAUUAAUAUCACGAAACUCUCUUCGUCUUCUGCUUUCUCACUCAAUAGACAAUCUUACUAAAUAAAGCUGCUACCUUUUUUUCCUCUGAUUUAUGCGUUUGUGCUAUAGAAAACCUUCGUCAUGGUCUUCAUAUUGUUUAAUGGGCUACAUUUUAAUCUGUUCAUAUCGUUUCCUUAGGCCCACUAAUCAGAAACCUAAGCAGAGAAAGAGUGUCCGAUGAAGUUUGUCGUGUCCAAUCGAUCUCCAAAACAGCCGCCGUUACGCAUCCACUCCACUUCAGCGUGACGAGGUAACGUUUCGUAGUUAAGGCAUUCAAUCAAGGAUUUCACUACAUGCUCUUGAAUCUAUCUUCACUGCUCUCAUAAGUAUUCUGAUUGAGUAUAUAUAUUCCUCCUGAGAGUCCUCCUCACCAAAUAACUCUAUUCUAUAAUAUUAUUGAUCCCGGCUAAUUCCCAAUUUCAUUUUCUUAGCUGAAAGCUUAUCACUCUCUUGGAGUUAUGCAUAAAGAUCUGAAGCAUGAAAAUUUUCUUUUCCCUUUUUCUCAUGAAGAUGCUUUUGUUAAAUCUACAGACCAAACACAAGGUAAUAUAUUAUACGUAUGCUUCUCCUUCUCGGAUCGGAUUAUGUCAUAGCAAGGUUUUGUUUACGCUAACUUUUUGUUAGAUUCAUUCAUGUUCGCAAUGUAGAUUCUCUGGUUAUGGAGAUUCAUUCAAAUUCAAAGUUUUGGGGGCAAAUUCGUCUCUCCCAGCCUGAAUGGAACGAGAGCUUAAGAGUUGGGCAUUGUACUUCAUGAGGAGCUAUAUUCUUCACCAAGUACACAAGGUGAGUGUGGGAAGUUAAUACGUAUAUCUCUGUUCUGCUAUGGUUUUAGUCAUUGUUUGCUUUGAUUAUCUAAAAAUAUAAAACUGUAUUGUAACCCUGAAUAAUUAGUACACUGUUAUUCUUUUCAGUGAUUUCAGGCAGCAGCUGGAAAGCAUUCAGAAGAUGAUGGAACCAUUUCCAUUGAUCGGCUUCCUCACAGGUUUGCUUUACUAUUUCUUAACAUCCACAAGAUAUCAUUGAUCACUAACAACAAUGCAUGUGCUGACUUUCUUACACUCUUUUAUCGCCGGGGAAUUGGUUAAUUCAUUUGUAUGUUUUGCUUCCUUGACCUUGUGUUGGAGGGAGCUUUUAUAUAUUAUUCUAUGAUGUAAAGUUCAUAUUUUACUUAUGGUCCUUAUGUACCUUUUGAAGAAGCCUUUACCAUUUGUUUCAGAGCUUGAAUUUCAUGAAUUUGAGACGGAAUUUUCAAUAGCCAGUGAGGAAGAUAAGAAAAUGGGACGUCAAAAAGACAGACGUGAAUCACGAUCGACAUUGAAAGUGUGAAGAGCAGGGCCAGAGAUAGAGACAUGAUGAAAAGGAUAGUGAAUGCGACCGCCACAAUGGUAGAAAUUGUUAUAGACACCUUAGCAGAGAACAUAGUGAGAAAAGGAAAUGUGAGAGAGACUAUAUGGAUGAUAAUGAUCAUUACAAAAGUCGAGACCAUGACAGGAAGAGGUCUUUCGAUCGAAAAAGAGAGGAGAGGCACAGGCCAGGGUCACGCUCUGGCUCGAGCAGCCGCUCUUAACGUAGAAUAGUGGUGGACAGCAAGAUGGUUGGAGAUUGCAGGAGUCAUGUCUGCGCUAUCACCACAAUGCAUAAAACAUUAACUCUUGGAGCAUAGUUGUUACUGUUUGAGGAACUCAAGGUCAUGAAUAUGAGAGAAUCUGGUAAUGUUUUAAGCCGAAAAGAAGAAAAAGCCUAAAGGUGAUCUGAAACAGAACAAAUGAAUAUGCUUAUGUUUUGAAAUCUGCUAUAAAAACGAGUAUAGUUAGAAGCUUUGGCAGAUUCACUUUUUCUUCUCCUAUCUCUUAUUCGUUUUAUAACUUUUCUUGUGUGGCAACAUUUACUUUCUGUUCGCCUGAGGUUUGGUUUCUAAUAUAAUUCUGAUUCUUAUCAUAAUGAAAUAAUAUAAAACAUUUCAAAUUUGCAUAUUUGAAGAAAAUCACAGUGGACUAUAGACUCAUGAAAAUCACAGUGGACUAAACUUAUGGCUUAGUUUUGU